rnacentral:rRNA from 1 species
GACGAACGCUGGCGGUGUGCUUAACACAUGCAAGUCGAACGGAAAGGCCCUGCUUUUGUGGGGUGCUCGAGUGGCGAACGGGUGAGUAACACGUGAGUAACCUGCCCCUGACUUUGGGAUAACUUCAGGAAACUGGGGCUAAUACCGGAUAGGAGCUCCUGCUGCAUGGUGGGGGUUGGAAAGUUUCGGCGGUUGGGGAUGGACUCGCGUCUUAUCAGCUUGUUGGUGGGGUAGUGGCUUACCAAGGCUUUGACGGGUAGCCGGCCUGAGAGGGUGACCGGCCACAUUAGGACUGAGAUACGGCCCAGACUCCUACGGGAGGCAGCAGUGGAGAAUAUUGCACAAUGGGAGGAGGCCUGAUGCGGCAACGCCGCGUGCGGGAUGACGGCCUUCGGGUUGUAAACCGCUUUCGCCUGUGACGAAGCGUGAGUGACGGUAAUGGGUAAAGAAGCACCGGCUAACUACGUG